GUUGAGUUGCCCAGUGUAAUCAGCCUGAUACCUGUUUUUGAUGUAAUUCGGUAUUUUAUUUUUCCUAACAGAGUUAGUGAUCUCUCCUAAUAUUUAUUUGCUUUUAUUUCUUGCCGUAAGUUUAAAAAAGUUACUUCAAUGUUUGUGCAUUGCAAACUGAAGAGACUAUUAACUUGACUGAAAGCAAGACUUCAAUGAAACUAGGAAGGCCUUGACGUUCUAACAGUAGCUGUCCAACUGGUCUGAAAAUAUGGAAAGGGAGACAAUUGGCAGAAGGUCUCAGGGAGAAAGGGGCUAUACUCCUUCAGUGCUAAUUACCAGCCAUGGUAUUUCCUGAAUUUUAGUGCCCUAAAAGAGAAAGUAAAUUUCCUAACUAGGUACCUGUGCGAAGAUUAUCAAAAGGAUAUUCUUCACAACAGUGUUUAAAAUGUUACACUUGGAAGUAUCCUAAGUGUUCACAAUUGGCAUUAGCUACAUAACUGACAGUGUUCAUUUGCAGACAGAAAAAUAUUGUGGAGGAAUAGAUCAAUGACCUGGGGAAGUGGUCAUAAUGUAUGAGGUGAAAAAUCAGAAUUAAAAUGAGUCAUUUAGUAAAGAUACAUAGAUUGAAAAUUGUGUGCUAUGUGUGUAAGUCAAAAGAACAAAAUGAAAACAGUUGCAACGGGAUUACAGGUGAUUUUUAUUUUAUUUAUAGUUGCGUUUCCCCUAAAUUUUCUGUAACAUUAACUACUUUUAUAAUUAAAAACCUUAUUUUAAAUUGAAUUUCCCCAAAUGUCCAUUCUUCGAUCAUGAAGGAUUUUAUUCCUUGUCAGAAUGAAGCUAAGGAAGGAGAUUCAUGUCCGGCAAGGGAGAAAAAAAAUCAAGAGGGACAGCACUCAAUAAACACCUAAUUUUGUUUCUGAUCUCGUGCCUGUUUGAAGCGCUCACACUUGUUUUGACUCAGCUAGAUAAGUCAGCUCCUCUAAAACAGUCACAAUUUCCACCAGCUGUUUGGAAUGUUUGAGUUAUGUUUUUGUUUUAGUGAACUUCACUGCCUAUCCCUUGAGCUAGCUUAUGAACAAUUGUGAAGGAAGUCUUUGAGGCCGACACAGAGGAAAGCUGCUAAUCUCAGGACAUCCCCAAGGAUUUGAAAAGGCAUCUGUGCUGUUUCUGUUUUUCUUCCAUGGCAGGUCUCUUGAUGUCAGAAAGAUGGGCCACUUCUUGGCCCCAUUUUCGAAGAGUCCGUGACCACAGCUGUGCGCAGUGGCUCUGAUAGACUCCUCAGGAGGCAACAGGCACAUGUCACUAUGAAGAUGUGAGGGACAGACCCUGUGCCAGGAACCUUUGGUUUUUGCUCUUGAGGCCUUCACCUGAUUGGAUGAGACCCACUACAUUAUUGAGAUCAGAAGAGUCAAAGGAGAUCCACUGGUUGACCAGGAUUAAGACAUGGUAUCAGAGAUCAUGCACAGUGGCAUUUAAUGAUCACAUAUCAAGGUACGUUGCACUCAAAAUUUAAAAUAAGAAUGUUUGCAAAUAAGGUUUAUAGGGAAAUAAUUGUAUACGUUUCUCUGCUUUCAGAGGUAUAGUCCAACUGUCAAUGUCAGAAUGCUUUUGGUUAUAUAAACUUUAAAAACUCAACUAAAAAUGAUGAGUAAUAAGGAACAUCUGUAUCUCACAUAACAAGGUAUUUGGAAGUUUAGUGGUUCCAGCUUUGAUUAAUGUAGUGUUCAAAUGAUAUCAUCAAGGUCCUAGGUUCUCUCCAUUUCUCCUCUAUAAGAUAUUGGAUUGUCUUUAAGCUGAAUUUCCUCAUGGCCCCAAGAUGGCUGCCAUUCUGCCCACUCUUAAAUGCAGAUAGCAAGAUCCAAAGGCAGCAAAUGGUUUGUUUCCUUUUGUGUGUCUCUUGCUAUCAAUAAAGAACGUUUUCCAUGAACUCCCAACAUAUUUUGCAUUUCCCUGUUGGGGGGAAGAAGGCCCAGGGAAGGGUAGCAGUUUAGUAGGCAACAAAAAGUAUCUGUCACAAAAUUGAGGUUGGACACGCUAAGCCCAGAUGGGCUUUCCGCGGAGAGAGUGGUCUUCUUAUGUGCUUGAUUAGUGGCAACAUUUUGGCUUCAACCUUUUCUCACUUUCACAAGGGAUGAAGCAAUUUAUUUUUUUGGAAGUGAAAACCAGGGAGAGAAGGGCUGUUCACUGAACAUGAAUUUUAGGUGAUAUCUUAGGUGACUCUUAAGUGGGAGUAGCAUUAGAGUUUCUUCUUAAUAACUUUCCCCUUCUGUAAGGGAAGCCCGGUGUUUUAGAGAUCUGGAGAACACACCUACUGUCUCUUUACUUUCUUAAACUUACUGAUUGAUACAAGUAGAAAUCAGAGAUCUAGUUUCUAUGUCUCAGCCUCUCUCUGAAGAGGAAUGAAAAAAAAAUGCUCAAGAAGCUUAUCGAAAACUGCAGAAGGACUGAGAAAACAGCAGAGCAUUAACUAUGGGAGAAUUGUGACAUAAAGACAGGAGGAACACAGAUUUCUGUAGAAUCUGGAGAUGCAAAGGGUGCAGUGUCCUUAGGUGAGUUACUUCAGGGUCUGUCACUCUCACCGCCCUCUCACACUGCAAAUCUCCUGCAUUCCCUGGUUUUGUUCUGCAAAGGGGAUAUCCAUGGAUUUUUCUUUGCUAUGUAAUGGUCCCAGUUCUUGAACAAUGCCCGAGAAAGGCAAAAGAAAAGUUAACUGUGAGAACAUUCAAAAGGGAGUAGGGAGACAGGGCACAGGAGAAACCUCCAAUGCCUGAGCUAUUGCAGAAUCAGGAAGGAGGAGGUUAGGAAGCUAAGGGAAAUUUGAACAAGUAAAAAAAUCUUUCUUAUCUUCUUUAAAAAUAUCAGUAAUUCCAGGGCUGAAGUCAAAUGGUUAAAAAGUGGAAAUGAAACAUAUGAUACUGAAUUUUCUAGAGUUUGGUUUGAAAGAAAACCUUCAAAUACUCAGGACUCAAGUGGUGAUUACAUUAGAGCCAUUUAAUUUUGCUCAGUGCUUUUUAUUUUAUUUUAUUUUUUUCAUCCCUGGAUUCCCUAGUUCUCCACACAGUUUUAUUUUUAAAGCCUUUGUACAAGACAAAAUGACCAGAGAAGAGCUAUUUUUUUAAGAAGGGUUUGAAGUUUGUUUGCUUAACAAAGUGUUUGCAGUCAUAAUUAAGUUGCAUAUUAAAGUUCAAAACCAUCUCGUGUUGGAAGUGACUGAAAAUUGUUACCAUCUGAUGGCUUUGUGGGCAGAGCUUUCACAAACGACACUGCACGCACGAAGGAAUAAAGACCCAGUUUCUGGGCAUUGCCCUGGGACCCAUCCAGGGUCUGGGCAACAUUCAAACUGCUGAUUUCCCAUAGUGGCAUCAUGGGUCUUAAAUCUAACUGUCACGCUGCUGUGCCUUGAUCUGUUGGAGUCAUCCCAACUUGAGUCAGUCUCGUUGCUAUUCUCAUCUCUUUAGAGUUCUCUGAUCUCCAGUCCACCUAUCUGUUGUGGGACCAGAGGAGCCAUGACAAGUCCUGGGUGCAGCUCUGUAACUCUCACCAUGGAAAAUCCAUCUCAAAGCCAGGUUUUCUGGGGGAGAGAGAAAGAGAAGGAAAGAGAGAGACUGGUUAGGGUGCGGGAUGAGUCAGCUCCUCAUCUGUUGUGUUGAAAGGCAAACUGUCUUUAAUUUUAACAGUGCUCCACUUCCAUCUAAACUGGCAUAUGAAGCCUAUUUGGGAACAGAAAAAGAAGUUUUAUAUGGCACAUUUAAAACAUCUUGCCUCAGGCAAGAACCUCACUGUUUCUGAGAUGAAAAUCUCUUUCCUGGCCUCCACACCUGAGUCUUUUAUUUCUACUUAGAAAAAAUUGGAACAAUAGAAGCUUGUCUGUUCUGAUGAUGAGCACAAGGCAAGAAUUAAGGCUUAAAAAACCCUGUGAUGGGGCAUAAUUAUGCAUGAGCUAGUUCAGAUGGCCAUGAUGUUUAAAGUCACCACAGACACAGUGUUUGCUGAAUAUAAUUUCACAUGUACAUUCAGGUCUAAGUCAGGAAACCCCAGCUUAUACUGAGUAAGAAUGAGAAUGGAUUUUGUCAACAUUACAAUCAUAAUUUAACUGGGAAUCAACCUGAAGAUGAAUUUUGGUUAUUGUCUCAUUUGUCUUCUUGAAUAUCGGUGCCUGAUCCCACUAAUUUCUUUUAGGCUAUUCUUCCUGAAAGGAAAUGCUCGCUAAUAUAUCCAUUCUGCUUAAUAAAAUAAACAAACUAAAAAAGUGGGUCAGAAUUUGGAAGAAAGCCAACUCAAUGACAAAAGAAGCAGCUAAAUCUUUGGUUUUGUGAUGAAAAACAAAGAAUAACUUUAAAGAAAAUAAGAGCCAUACAAUAUAAGAUCGACUUUACCAUAAGCAGAAUGUUUUUGGUGAAGGUAAAUCUAUAAAUACAGGGGGAAGACACAGUUACACAGAAUUCUUUUUCAAACUUUUCUAAACGCGGAUUUUAGAAGAUUUAUUUGAAAUCUACAUCAAAACCAGGUACUUUCAGAAUUCUUAAUAAAUGAGUGUUGUCCCUUUCCCUUCUUACCCUACAAUAGCAGUAACUGGAGAGCGGCAGCAGCUAGACAUUAGUCAUCAUGACAUUCUCUCUGUGCAUGGAUCCCUGCAAUGUAGAUGGCAGAUACAUCACUUUAUUCAGAGAAUAGAAUCAACUUGGACCAAUGAUACCACCGUAUACACUGGUUUUUCAAAGUGACCCACUAUCUAUGAAAAUCACUAGGAUCUGGUAGUAUAGAAAUAACACAGCCACAGGGAGAACCCCCAAAUCUAAUGUCUCCUGAGAUAAUGUCCCUUAAUUCAGUGAAGGUUUAAAAUGACAAAUGGAAUUGGCCAUCUUCUAAAGCACACUUAAUUACUUUGUUUAAUCAAUCUGAGGCUUUUGAGAGUUUAUUGAUUUUUCAUAUACUGCUAGUGCAUGGUGCUAACUCAAAAAUUACAUGUCCAGUAAACCCUUGGAUUGCAAGUAACUUGUUUUGCGAGUGUUCAGCAAGAUGAGCAAAUAUUUCUAAUAAAUUUUAACUUCAUAAAUGAGCAGUGUCUUGCAAUAUGAGUAGUACAUGACACUAAAUGUCACAGGAUCACAACUGAGCCAAAGCUUCUUGAAAUUCACUCUGAUAUACAAGUGCUUUGGAUUACAAGCAUGUUUCUGGAAUGAAUUAUGCUCACAAACCAAGGUUUUACUGUAUUACAUACUAACAACAACAACAACAACAACAACAAAAAUCCCAAAGUUUUCAGAAGGAAUGGUCCUUAGUUAUAUUUUACAGAGAGAUCACUAGAUUAAAAUGCCAGGCUUCACAGAAUGGAUAUAAGGAUGAGUUGUUGCCUUUGGGAAAAUGUGUCUGAGGCCUGUGAAAGUUUCACAUAUUGAAAUCCCAGAUAUCUCUAUAUUCUGUUCUUACAACCAUUCACCAUUCAUCUCUGCCAAGUUCCAGCUCUUGUAUCUAAGAGACAAUAUUAGGAUUGAGAUAGACAUCAUGACAUUCUCUCUGUGCUUGGAUCCCUGCAAUGUCUGAGAUACCCAGACAGACUUUCUGUUGAAUGGGUUGUUCAUUUGGAAGGAUAGAAAGAGGGAUGAGCUACAUGGCAAAUGAGCCCAGGGGACAUAUAUUAACCCAACUCUUUAUGCUCAGAAUCAAGAAGGAAAAUCUGGUACCUCUUUGUUAAACUCCAGCCAUGAAUGACUAUUAUAGAGCAAUAAAGUGACCAGCAAGUGGAAAAAUCUAUUGUAACCAGCUUAUCAAAUUAGCUGAACGUGAUAUUAUACAAGUAGGAAACAGCACUGUAUUUUCCUCACACCUAACUUUCCCGUCUGUUCUGUGGGUAUCCUUCUUUCUUUCCCUGAAACAGUAUCUUUGGAAGAUCCCUCUCCAGUUCAGGGUACUUUCAGCCUGGGGCCAAAGUUCAGCCUGAAGAGUGCCUAACAAAGUUAUAGCAGUUACUUAUAGCUAGUGUGCAUCCUGAUUGGUCAAUGCCCGUGCUCUCCUAGCUGGUGAACUUACUAAGGUCACCACCUUCUGAUAUUAAUGAACAGUCAUGGUUUUAGCCAUUAAAAAUUUAGACUUGAUCUAAUGUUAAAGCUUUUAUUUCAUACCAAUUCAAAGCUUUUCCCUCUCCACAUCACUCACAUGAAACCCAGUCUCAGAAACCUGCAAUGCAAGUAAGUAGACAAAUGGACUCUUUACUAUUUCUUCACCUUGUCUCCUACUCCCAGCUAGGUUCUACUUCUGACUCCUCCAAGAUAAAGAAGAGAGAGAAAAACAUGAGGUGAGAUAAAGAGAAAAAAAUAUCUUACUUGGCCAUUGCUGUUGCAAUCUGGCAAUGAGGCUCUCUGUGAGUCAGGAGCCCAAUUAUGGGUUAUUUCUUUCAUAGGGUACUGUCUUGGGUACUCUGGGUGGGCCCAUCAACUUCCUCCUACAUUGCUUCUAGUAGGAGGGGUUGGACACAUAAAAACUAUACUUUCCAGACUCCUUUGCAGGUAGGUUCCUUGAUUUCUAUCCAUUGGAUUUACUUACCAAAUUUGGAAGUCAGGAAUGAUGUGGGGAUCAUCUUAGGCUUUGGACUCUGGUUUCUAGUAAGUCAAUAUGGUGGAAACAUGAAGCUUUCCUGCAGCAGUGCUCCCGUGUCCGUCUCCAUAUUCUUGUAUGUAGAAAAGUAGUAGACAAGGAUUUUACUUCUAGCUUGAGCGGUGACCUCAGCAGUGCUAGCUCCCCCAGUUAGUCAGUUCUGUAUCAUUCUACAAAUUAUUCUGAGAGGCUUGCUCCUUCAGUUCUUCCUAAUAUUUUGCGAGCACUUGUGCUGACUAAUGCAGGUGCUUUUGUGGGUUCUGGAUGAGACCACUCCUCUCUUCCCCAGAGGAGAUCCAACACUACCCUUCCUAGAGCAGGGGAUGGCCCUCUGGCUGAUUGCUUGCCAUGCCAGCCCAGCUUUUCCAACUGACAGGGCACCCACACAGUCUUUUUCUAUUUUUUAAACUCUACCAGGUAAGAAUGGAUACUUAUCUCCAUAUUGCGGGAAAUGCAGGCCAAGUUUUCCCAAGAACUCUGUAACUAACCAGGCUCUCUCCUGAAUCUCUCUGACCUAGGAGGUGUGUAAGUUGGUAUAAUGUCAGUAUCCCUUCCUGACAAGACCCACACUCUCUACAAGUGGAUCUUUGUUCAUUGUGAAUUUAGGGACACACCAUACUCUCCUCCAAAAAUGACCUUCAAGGAAACCCUUUUCUGAUCAGGCUGAGGUAAGAGCCACUUCUUUGGCAAGUUCUGUUGAGGUGAAAGGCACCUGCGUGGCUCGGUCGGUUAGGCAUCCAACUUCAGCUCAGGUCACGAUCUUGUGGUCUGGGAGUUUAAACCCUGCAUCGGGCUCUGUGCUGAUGGCUCGGAGCCUAGAGCCUACUUCAGAUUCUGUGUUUCCCUCUCUGCCCCUCCCCUUCUCAUACUGUCUCUCUCUCUUUCAAAAUAAUAAAUAAACAUUAAAAAAAAAAGAAGGUGGGCAUAGUUGUCACCUAGGACUAUCAGCUUUGGGACCUCUGCUGAAAGGGAGAUAACAGGAGAGUUCUCAUUUAGCAUCCAGUUACACUAAUCUGUCUGAUUUUCCAGAUUGGAGGCCAGUACCCUGCUGUGAGGGUUGUUUGGGGACUGGGAGGCUGGUGGCCAGUUGAACAGUUAAUAGGAUGAGAAUGGUCUGUAGCAUCAUUUAAGAAGAGCCAUCAACUUGGGCCUACCUUUUAACCGAAAUGCUUACUGUUAAAAUAGUGUUUCUUCCCCAUGCCCAUUCCCAUUCCAAGCUUUGCAUUUCAAAAGUUAUUUGCUGUAUUUUUUUUAUGUUUUUAUUUUUUUCUGAAAAAGCUAAUGGUAAAAUCUGAGACUGAACCCAAGGAACAAGAGAUCUUUAAGAUUUACUAAUCAUUCAAAAAGUAAUGUGGCUAGGAUGCUUCGGUGGCUCAGUCAGUUAAACAGCUGACUCUUGAUUUUGGCUCAGGUCAUGAUCUCGUGGUUCAGGAGUUUGAGCCCCAUGUUAGGCUCUGUGCUGGUAGUGCAGAGCCUGCUCAGGAUUCUCUCCCUCCCUCUCUCUCUGCUCCUCCCUUGCUCUUAUGCUCUCGCUCUCUCUCUCUCUCUCUCUCUCUCAAGAAAUAAAUAAAACUUUUUAAAAAGUAAUGUGGCUGUAUUUUUAAAACAUCUCAAGGCAAAACAAAAAACAGAACCAAGGAAUAUUUGGCUUUUAAAAAAGAAUAGAAUAACAAUGAGUCCAUGUGUGCCUGAAUUUUCUGAAGUAGAGAAUGAGUGAUUGGAUUAGCCAACCAAAUUCUCUUCCAGUUCUAAUGCCACGUGGCUUUUUAUGAGUCAACAGAACCAAAAUGGCCAAGCAUUAGCUACUGUAAGGAAGCAUGGCUCAAAGAGCUCAGAUUGGCUAAAAGCAAAACAAAAUACCCAAAUGAAUUGAACACUUAUGUCUGCACAAAAAUCUGCAUACAAAUGUUUAUAACAACUUUAUUCAUAAUUGACAAAAUUUGGAAGCAACCAACUUUGUUCUUUAGGAGGUGAAUGGAUAGACAAAUUGUAGUACAUCCAGGCAAUGGACUGUUAUUCAGCGCUAAAAAGAAGUGAGCUGUGAAGCCAUGAAAGGAUAUGGGGAAACUAAAAUGCAUAUUACUUAAGUGAAAGAAAAUAGUCUGAAAAGGCUGCAUACUAUAUCAUUCCAAAUAUGUGAUGUCCUAGAAAAGGCAAACUUUAAAGACAGUAAAAAGAUCAGUGGUUGCCAAGGGUUAGGGAUUAGGAGUGAGAGGGGAGGGAUGAAUAGGCAGAGCAUAAAAAAAUUUUUAGAGCAGUGAAAAUAUUCUGUGUGAUAUUACAAUGGUGGAUACAUGCCAUUAAACAUUUGUCAAACUCAUUGUUUCACCAAAAGUGAACUGUAAUGUAAACUAUGGACUUUGGGCAGUAAUGAUGUGUCAGUGUAGUUUUAUCAGUUGUAACAAAUGUACUACUGUGGUACAGGAUGUUGCUAGUUGCAGAGGUUGUACAUGUGUGGGAGGUUGUACAGGGGAUAUGAGAACUCUCUGUAUUUCCUACUCAAAUUUGCUGUGAACCACAAACCCCUUAAAAAAAAUAAAGCUUAUUAAUUAAAGAAAUAAGCAAAUAAAACAUAGUUAAAGCAGCAUUAGCUCACGUUUCUUGAGAAAUAUUAGGUAAAGUAAUUUGUUGCAGUCCCUGUUAAAGUUAAGGCUAUUCAAUCAUCACAAAAAGGCAAUGUAGCCUGUAGCCUGACCAUCUUUAGCCAAAUGGUUUCAUGAAACUUAUGUGAAAGAAAUCAAAACAGCCAGAUAUCAACUGAAUUCAAGCCCAACUUCUAACAACAGUCAACCAUUUCUCUCAAACUGGAAGGUUAAAGAUGAACUAUUGGCUAACAUCCAAAGAUCUUAUAUGAAGAAGUAGCAGUCACCAUGUUACAUUUUAUGAGAAAUACAAGUUGAACUUUGAGCAUGGCUAUCUCCAGAGUAGCAAUUAUUUGAAUGUUGGUUCUUGGUUUAUAAUGCUUAUGAUGAAAACAUGGUGAAACAAGGAAUGAAUUUUUAAGACUUUUACUUACUUUCAAGAAUCCUAGUGAAGUGUUCCAUUUUCUGUUGGCCACAUCCACUCUUUUCUCAGAUGAAUUCUUUCAGUUGUAAUCCACUGGAUUUGGGAAUAUAGAGCUUUGGUUCUUCUCCAGUUCUGUCAAAUGUUCUUAAGAUUUAAUGGAAGAAAGAUGAGUUUGUUUUUUUACCACUGCAUUUUAUCCAUUUAAAUGAGAAGUGUGAGCACGAACAGUGUUUUGAGAGUAAUCAAUUCAAGAGUAAUCAAUAGUCAAAGUAUUUUUAAAGUGUAUAGCAUCAUGAUGCCCUCUAGUGGCUAACCCACAAGAAAUGUGCCUCAAAAAUCCCUCAGAAAACAGAAAUUCUUCCUUUCUAUGGAUGGAAUAGUGUUAUCUAUUGAAGUACACUGUUAUCUUUGAUUUCUUUACUAAGAGAUGUUUUUAUUGGAAUUUAUGUUCAGUUGCCAUUGUCUUAUUGCCUUAGUGCCUCAAAGAUCAAAACAUGUUAAAUUAAUAAAAAUUAUUGUGUCAAAGCAUUAUAACCACUGAGUAAAGCCAAUGGGUAGAUGUGGUCCAGUACAAUCAGUUUAUUAUACUAGAGUAAAGGAAUAUGCCUCUGAGGUACAAUGAGGAAAUUCUCCUGAGAUUUAUUAAUUGAUAUGUCACUGUUAGGCUUUUUCCAUUACUGAAAUGGCUAUCUUGGAUUCCUCAGCAGGUAGCAGCACUACUGAAAAAAGAAAAGAACAAAAAAUAGACCCAACUGAAAAGAAAUCAGAAAACUGAUAACUGUGGGGCACCUGGGUGGCUCAAUCGGUUGAGCAUCUGACUUUGGCUCAGGUCAUGAUCUUGCAUUCGUGGGUUCGAGCCCCACCUCAGGCUCUAUGCUGACCGCUCAGAGCCUGGAGGCUGCUUCAGGUUCUGUGUCUCCCUCUCUCUCUGUGCCCCUCUCCUGCUCGUGCUCUGUCUCU